UACGGAGGAUGCAAGCGUUAUCCGGAUUUAUUGGGUUUAAAGGGUGCGUAGGUGGAUAAGUAAGUCAGUGGUGAAAGCCUGCAGCUUAACUGUAGAAUUGCCAUUGAUACUGCUUGUCUUGAGUACAUUUGAGGUGGGCGGAAUAUGACAUGUAGCGGUGAAAUGCUUAGAUAUGUCAUAGAACACCGAUUGCGAAGGCAGCUCACUAAACUGUUACUGACACUGAGGCACGAAAGCGUGGGGAGCAAACAGG
rnacentral:rRNA from 1 species